GUAGGUGGCUUUAAAUGGGCUAAGGUAGGUGGCUUUAAAUGGGCUAAGGUAGGUGGCUUUAAAUGGGCUAAGGUAGGUGGCUUUAAAUGGGCUAAGGUAGGUGGCUUUAAAUGGGCUAAGGUAGGUGGCUUUAAAUGGGCUAAGGUAGGUGGCUUUAAAUGGGCUAAGGUAGGUAGGUGGCUUUAAAUGGGCUAAGGUAGGUAGGUGGCUUUAAAUGGGCUAAGGUAGGUGGCUUUAAAUGGGCUAAGGUAGGUGGCUUUAAAUGGGCUAAGGUAGGUGGCUUUAAAUGGGCUAAGGUAGGUGGCUUUAAAUGGGCUAAGGUAGGUAGGUGGCUUUAAAUGGGCUAAGGUAGGUAGGUGGCUUUAAAUGGGCUAAGGUAGGUGGCUUUAAAUGGGCUAAGGUAGGUGGCUUUAAAUGGGCUAAGGUAGGUGGCUUUAAAUGGGCUAAGGUAGGUAGGUGGCUUUAAAUGGGCUAAGGUAGGUAGGUGGCUUUAAAUGGGCUAAGGUAGGUGGG